CCUGAGAAACGGCUACCACAUCCAAGGAAGGCAGCAGGCGCGCAAAUUACCCACUCCCGGCACGGGGAGGUAGUGACGAAAAAUAACGAUACGGGACUCAUCCGAGGCCCCGUAAUCGGAAUGAGUACACUUUAAAUACUUUCACGAUUAACAAUUGGAGGGCAAGCCUGGUGCCAGCAGCCGCGGUAACUCCAGCUCCAAUAGCGUAUAUUAAAGUUGUUGCGGUUAAAAAGCUCGUAGUUGAAUCUGUGUCCCACACUGUCGGUUCACCGCUCGCGGUGUUCAACUGGCAUGUCUGUGGGACGUCCUGCCGGUGGGCGCAGCCCGUCAAAAGGCGGCCCAACUCAAAAUCCUACCACGGUGCUCUUCACCGAGUGUCGAGGUGGGCCGGUACGUUUACUUUGAACAAAUUAGAGUGCUUAAAGCAGGCUCAUUCGCCUGAAUAUUGUGUGCAUGGAAUAAUGGAAUAGGACCUCGUUUCUAUUUUGUUGGUUUUCGGAACUACGAGGUAAUGAUUAAUAGGGACAACUGGGGGCAUUCGUAUUGCGACGUUAGAGGUGAAAUUCUUGGAUCGUCGCAAGACGGACAGAAGCGAAAGCAUUUGCCAAAUGUGUUUUCAUCAAUCAAGAACGAAAGUUAGAGGUUCGAAGGCGAUCAGAUACCGCCCUAGUUCUAACCAUAAACGAUGCCAGCUAGCGAUCCGCCGAAGUUCCUCCGAUGACUCGGCGGGCAGCUUCCGGGAAACCAAAGCUUUUGGGUUCCGGGGGAAGUAUGGUUGCAAAGCUGAAACUUAAAGGAAUUGACGGAAGGGCACCACCAGGAGUGGAGCCUGCGGCUUAAUUUGACUCAACACGGGACACCUCACCAGGCCCAGACACCGGAAGGAUUGACAGAUUGAGAGCUCUUUCUUGAUUCGGUGGGAGGUGGUGCAUGGCCGUUCUUAGUUGGUGGAGCGAUUUGUCUGGUUAAUUCUGAUAACGAGCGAGACUCUAGCCUGCUAAAUAGGCGUAAUUUCCGGUAUCUCGAAGGCCCGCCGGCUCGGCUUCGGUCGCUGUCGUGUGUGGUUUUUACUACCGGCGUACAUAUAUAUCUUCUUAGAGGGACAGGUGGCAUUUAGUCGCACGAGAUUGAGCAAUAACAGGUCUGUGAUGC
rnacentral:rRNA from 1 species